CCUACGGGUGGCAGCAGUGAGGAAUAUUGGUCAAUGGGAGAGAUCCUGAACCAGCCAAGCCGCGUGCGGGAAGACGGCCCUAUGGGUUGUAAACCUCUUUUGUCGGAGAACAAAACGCGGGACGUGUCCGGGACUGCGUGUAUCCGAAGAAAAAGGAUCGGCUAACUCCGUGCCAGCAGCCGCGGUAAUACGGAGGAUGCGAGCGUUAUCCGGAUUGAUUGGGGUUCAAGGGGGCGUGGGCGGUCCGUUAAGUCAGCGGGAAAAUGGCGGGGCUCAACCCCGGCGAGCCGGUGAAACUGGCAGCCUUGAGUUCGCGUGCCGUACGCGGAAUGCGCGGUGUAGCGGUGAAAUGCAUAGAUAUCGCGCAGAACUCCGAUUGCGAAGGCAGCUUACCGGCGCCAGUCUGACGCUGAGGCACGAAAGCGUGGGGAUCGAACAGGAUUAGCUACCCCAGUAGUC
rnacentral:rRNA from 1 species